rnacentral:rRNA from 1 species
AGUUGUUGCGGUUAAAAAGCUCGUAGUUGGAUUUCUGUUGAAGACCGGCGGUCCACCUUUUGGGUGAGUAUCUGCUUGGGCUUCGGCAUCUUCUCGGAAUACGUUGCUGCGCUUGAUUGCGUGGUUCGGAGUCCGGGACUUUUACUUUGAGGAAAUUAGAGUGUUCACGGCAGGCAUACGCCUUGAAUAUAUUAGCAUGGAAUAAUAAUAUAGGAUCUUGGUUCUAUUUUGUUGGUUUCUAGAGCUAAGAUAACGAUUAAUAGGGACAAUUGGGGGCAUUCGUAUUAACGCGUCAGAGGUGAAAUUCAUGGAUUGCGUUACGACGAACUACUGCGAAAGCAUUUGCCAAGGAUGUUUUCAUUGAUCAAGAACGAAAGUAAGGGGAUCGAAGAUGAUUAGAUACCGUCGUAGUCUUUACCAUAAACUAUGCCAACUAGAGAUGGGGCGUCGUACUACUAUUACUCGCUCCGCACCUUAUGAGAAAUCAAAGUCUUUGGGUUCCGGGGGGAGUAUGGUCGCAAGGCUGAAACUUAAAGGAAUUGACGGAAGGGCACCACCAGGAGUGGAGCCUGCGGCUUAAUUUGACUCAACACGGGGAAAACUCACCAGGUCCAGACAUAGUAAGGAUUGACAGAUUUAUAGCUCUUUCUUGAUUCUAUGG